AGAGUUUGAUCCUGGCUCAGAUUGAACGCUGGCGGUAUGCUUUACACAUGCAAGUCGAACGGAUCAGGAAGCUUGCUUCUUGGUUAGUGGCGAACGGGUGAGUAAUAUAUCGGAACAUAUCCGGAAGUGGGGGAUAACGUAGCGAAAGUUACGCUAAUACCGCAUAUGCCCUGAGGGGGAAAGGGGGGGAUCGCAAGACCUCUCGCUUUCGGAGUGGCCGAUAUCGGAUUAGCUAGAUGGUGAGGUAAAGGCUCACCAUGGCGACGAUCCGUAGCUGGUCUGAGAGGACGACCAGCCACACUGGAACUGAGACACGGUCCAGACUCCUACGGGAGGCAGCAGUGGGGAAUUUUGGACAAUGGGCGAAAGCCUGAUCCAGCCAUACCGCGUGAGUGAAGAAGGCCUUCGGGUUGUAAAGCUCUUUCAGCCGGAAAGAAAUCGCAUUCCUUAAUACGGGGUGUGGAUGACGGUACCGGAAGAAGAAGCACCGGCUAACUACGUGCCAGCCGCCGCGGU
rnacentral:rRNA from 1 species